GCCCGGGCGGGAUCCAGAGGUCAGAGCGUUAAGCAGCCACCAGAUGUGGGAGGCCCAGCUGUGCAGCCCAGAACGGCCCGGAGCGCGGGGGAGAAGGGCCACGUCAUCCCUUGAGUGGGUAUAAUGUCACUUCUGGCCACUUCCAUCAGGCAUCAGGCACCAGCACAGGGACAUGUGCUUUGGAUGGUAGGGAAACAGUCUGGUCCAUGUCGCAUUAACGGGCAUCUCGGCAAGCAAGAGGAAAAGGGCGGGGGAUGAGAAAUGGAGAACACUUCAAGCAGAGCCAAGCGGGACACAAUAGAAGAAGCAGCUCUGGGAGACCAAAAUCCUGUCUUACAACUCUGCCAGCUCCAAAAGGCAGAAGCUCAGGAUGGAGCACACGGUGUGAUUCAACAAAUACUUAUCAAUACAUUAACUGAAAACUGGGAUGGAGAAGGCAGAGGAGCCUGUGCUGGAUCCCCCAAAGCCAUAUCUCAAAGCCAGUCUCCUAUAGACUGGCCUGAAAACAGAAGGAUAUGAAAGGAACAAGGAGAGUGCCUUGUAUGUUAAUAAGUAUUUAAUAAAUACUGUGAUGUGUCUUAAUCUGGCUUUCAGUUGUGGGCACAAUGAGGACAGGGAAUGUUUUAUAUUAGGAUGGAGAU